rnacentral:rRNA from 1 species
GAUGAACGCUGGCGGCGUGCCUAAUACAUGCAAGGCGAGCGAACGGACGAGAAGCUUGCUUCUCUGAUGUUAGCGGCGGACGGGUGAGUAACACGUGGAUAACCUACCGAUAAGACUGGGAUAACUUCGGGAAACCGGAGCUAAUACCGGAUAAUAUUUUGAACCGCAUGGUUCAAAAGUGAAAGACGGUCUUGCUGUCACUUAGAGAUGGAUCCGCGCUGCAUUAGCUAGUUGGUAAGGUAACGGCUUACCAAGGCAACGAUGCAUAGCCGACCUGAGAGGCUGCUCGGCCACGCUGGAACUGAGACACGGUCCCGACUCCUACGGGAGGCCGCAGUCGGGCAUCUUCCGCAAUGCGCGCAAGCCUGACGGAGCACCGCCGCGUGAGUGAUGAAGGUCUUCGGAUCGUAAAACUCUGUUCUUCGGGACGAACAUCUGUGUAACUAACUGUGCACAUCUUGCCGGUACCUAAUCAGAACGCCACGGCUACCUACGUG